GCUCUGGGGCACUUAAAGGAUUCCAUGUAACAUCUGUUACCAACGGGUAGGGAAAUAUUUCAAUAUUUUAACAACAGGUGCUUACCUGCUGAACCUCAGCCCUAACUACAAUCCCCUUCCUAGAAGGAGAGGCUCCUUCUUUACCACCAGGGCAGAGGGCCUGGAGCUAAAUUUAGCCCUGAAGAGAACACAGCCCGCUGAGAUGUGUUCGAGCCUCACGCAGCAAUGGGACUUGGAUACGCCUGAAACCCUGGCGCUGGGAUGGCCCCGGCUCGGCGCGGAUGCAGCAUGAAGGCCGUCGGAGAGCAAGCGUUGGAAGCCUCCUGAGAUCUGGAACCACAGCCUAGCCCCUGAGGAGAGGCGAUGCGGGAUAUCUCCAGCGGAAAAGACGGGGAGCCCAGUAGACAGGGCGAGAGAGCUCCGCUUUUCAGAGGGUUGGUGAGACUCCUUCCUGGCCUCAGAAGGGACCUGGCUUGGAGACCACCACCAAGGGCCUUCCAGCUCUAACCACACGCUCCAUGAAAAGCCUGCCAUGUGACAACAGGUGCAGUGGAAGGGGCUGGAAUCUGACAGCCCUGGACUUGAAUUGGGUGUAAAUGACCUUUCCCUCCCUGAGCUUCAGUUUCCUCAUCUUUAGAAUGGGAGUAGUAAGCUCACUGAGGGCUUCCCUGGUGGCUCAGUAGUCAAGAAUCUGCCUUCCAGCAAACCUGAUCCAGUAUCCUUCUCUAGCAUUCCUCUAUGGAGACAGGAGACUUAGGGAUUAGAAAAAAAGAAAUCUGCCUUCCAAUGCAGGAGAAGCCAGUUGAAUCAUUAGGUCGGGAAGAUCCCCUGGAGAAGGGAAUGGCUACUCACUCCAGUGUUCUUGCCUGGAGAAUCCCAUGGACAGAAGAGCCUGGUGGGCUAUAGUCCGUGGGGUCUCAAAGAGUCAGACAUGACUUAGUGACUAAACAAUAACAACAAGCUUAUUACGUGGUGAUGGGAGUCAUGUCUUUAUUCGAUUGCCCAGUAAUGGACAGUCUUUCUUAGGCCCGAUCUGAGGCUGAGAAGGAAUCUGCUGAGUGCAAGUGCCAUUCCCGGCCCAGCGGCCCUGAGGGUUCUCCACGGCUAUCCCGGCCCACAGUGGACCAGCUCCCCUUACCUCCAGCUCACUUUCCUAGUCUGGCCUCCCAUUACCGCUGGGAGGCUCCAGAAACCUUUUCGAUGCCUUUCCUUUUUGCUUACGUUAGCCUGAACCAGUUUUGAUUGUUCACAACCAAGGGCCCCAAUUGACACAAGGCCCGUUGUCUUCCUUCGCUUCAGCCUCCCGAGCGUCUUUGACUGCAAGCACUGCUCGCCUCAUUUCCAGGAGCCUUUUCUAGUGCAUCGUGGUGCAAAUCCACUUCUCUACAGCCCUGCUCCUCCCUGUGGGCUCCCCUUCCUGCUUCUGUCCGCAGCACUCUCUCCUCCCUGAGCCUCCCAAUUUCUAAACCAUCUGCGUGUAAUCCUAGGG
ensembl:lncRNA